AUAUUAUUAAGCGGAGGAAAAGAAACUAAACGGGAUUCCGUUAGUAACGGCGAGCGAAAACGGAACAGCUCAGCGCUAAGUCCCAUCAGCACAAGUUGAAUGGGAGGUGCAGCGUGAAUGCAGCAGUGAAUCGUGCUUCGCUUUGUAACGCAAGUUCCUCUGACAAGGACUUUUGCUAUAAUGGGUGAUAGCCCCAUAGCUGUUUCAAAGCUGUUGCACGCAUACUGUUGUAUGCUAGAGUCAGGUUGCUUGAAAGUGCAGCCUAAAGCAGGUGGUAAACUCCAUCUAAGGCUAAAUAUUACUGUGAGACCGUAG
rnacentral:rRNA from 1 species